AGUUGGAGAUGAGAUUUGGCUCUCGUAGGAGUUCGGGCGAAGUCUACCUGCAAUUAAAGUUAAGGGCGAAGUCCGGCUCCCUUAGGAGUCUGGACGAAGUUUACCAGCAGUUGAGGUCGGGGACGGAGCCCAGCUCUCGUAGGAGUCUGGGCGAAGCCUUCCAGCAGUUCAGGUCGGGGACGAAGUCCGGCUCCCGUAGGAGUCCAUACGAAAUCUUCCU
rnacentral:lncRNA from 1 species